GGAAACUUGGAAACUACCGUUGGAUCGAGAAAUGGACGUCCGAGAUUCGUCCAGGUCACCAUGAGUUAAAAUUUAACUCGAGUUAAAUUUUAACUCAUGGUGACCUGGACGAAUCUCGGACGUCCAUUUCUCGAUCCAACGGUAGUUUCCAAGUUUCC
rnacentral:pre_miRNA from 1 species